AGCUCCAAUAGCGUAUAUUAAAGUUGCUGCAGUUAAAAAGCUCGUAGUUGGAUCUCGGGGUACCUGGUCUAGCCGGUAUAGCUCACGCUAAAACUGGUCUGACCCCCCAACGUGAGGUAUUCGUCUCCGGGUGCACUUCAUUGGGUGCUCGUGAGGGGCCUCGUAGUUACUGUGAAAAAAUUAGAGUGUUCAAAGCAGGCUCAUAUGUUCGGAUAGUCGUGCAUGGAAUAACUGAAUACGUGACUGGCGCUUUUCAGUUGGUCACGGCGACGGGUCAAAGGAUUAAGAGGGACUGCCGGGGGCAUUGGUAUGGCGGGGUUAGAGGUGAAAUUCAAAAAAAGCGAAAGCAUUUGCCAAGAAUGUCUGCA
rnacentral:rRNA from 1 species